GGGCCGGUGGUCUAGGGGUGAUGACGGCGCGCUUACAACGCGCAGAUCGGCGGUUCGAAUCCGCCCCGGCCCA
rnacentral:tRNA from 2 species